rnacentral:rRNA from 1 species
CCCCUAGAUGUUCUGGGCCGCACGCGCGCUACACUGAACAGUUCAACAAGUCUUAACCUUGGCCGAUAGGUUUGGGUAAUCUUUGAACGCUGUUCGUGAUUGGGAUAGACCUUUGCAAUUAUGGGUCUUCAACGAGGAAUUCCUAGUAAACGCAAGUCAUCAGCUUGCAUUGAUUACGUCCCUGCCCUUUGUACACACCGCCCGUCGCACCUACCGAUUGAAUGGUCCGGUGAAAUCUCGGGACGGCGGCUUGGUCGCUUGCGUCCGACUGCUGAAACUUGAUUAAACCAUAUCAUUUAGAGGAAGGUGAAGUCGUAACA